rnacentral:snRNA from 1 species
AUCGCUUCUCGGCCUUUUGGCUAAGAUCAAGUGUAGUAUCUGAAGCUUCUUCUGCAUGUUUUGUUUUACCUACUUCAAUUUGUUCAAGAAGCUCCUAAAACUACUAUUAGUGGGUUUUGAAGUUCUAGACAUACAAUAAAAUGCUU